ACCCUUCCUCAAGGGGUAGCUGGAUUGUUCUUACCCCUGCACCCUGAUGUGCUACACCAUCCCCAACACCGGUCCGUACCUCUAUCUCUCCCUAUACUACAAGGCUACCACAACCCCCUAAGUCUUCUGCAACCUAGGAUACUGACCGCUGCUGCUCCCGCUCCUGGCCUCCGUCCCUCCUCACCACCUUGGACCUCUUGGUUUACAUGCAUGAUAAUUCCCCUACAAAUAUCUAUAAUUCUCAUCCCUCUUUCUCCCCACUCUGCUCUCACUAGGACCCUCCCCUUCCCAGUCUGUCCAUCCACCCACUCCAGGGCUGCACACGGAUAGACAGGACACUUCAGGUGCUUAUCGCCUUCGCUCAAGCCAACAGACACUCCUCUCUAGUGUGCGAGCCACUGGGGUCUCUGCAACACGUCCCCAACACAUCUGCCCAGACUCUUUCAUCGGAAGCCAGCAGCUACACACAUGAUGCAUGAAUAGCACAGGUAGAGGGGCCCUAGGACAUUUCUUUCCAGGUGUCCCAAAUGGCAGGACCUCCAACAGGGACCCAGAUGUAAACACCAA
rnacentral:lncRNA from 1 species